rnacentral:rRNA from 1 species
CCUACGGGGGGCUGCAGUCGAGAAUCAUUCACAAUGGGGGAAACUCUGAUGGUGCGACGCCGCGUGGGGGAAUGAAGGUCUUCGGAUUGUAAACCCCUGUCAUGUGGGAGCAAAUUAAAAAGAUAGUACCACAAGAGGAAGAGACGGCUAACUCUGUGCCAGCAGCCGCGGUAAUACAGAGGUCUCAAGCGUUGUUCGGAAUCACUGGGCGUAAAGCGUGCGUAGGCUGUUUCGUAAGUCGUGUGUGAAAGGCGCGGGCUCAACCCGCGGACGGCACAUGAUACUGCGAGACUAGAGUAAUGGAGGGGGAACCGGAAUUCGCGGUGUAGCAGUGAAAUGCGUAGAUAUCGAGAGGAACACUCGUGGCGAAGGCGGGUUCCUGGACAUUAACUGACGCUGAGGCACGAAGGCCAGGGGAGCGAAAGGGAUUAGAUACCCUGGUAGUC